AGCUUGGAUGUGGAAGCUCUUUGGAAACCAAGAAACACUCUGCAAAUGAAAAGGGUGGAAGAGUAAACUGUUCCCGUUUCUCCAAAUUGACAGGAAGCAGAAGUUCUCCUUAGCUGAUUUUUCUUCUUGCCUUAUACUGGGUUCUUUAACACCAGAACAAAAAUAAAUAAAUAAAAGAAUCUUCCAGAAAUUCAUGAAGAGACUUCAGGUCAGGAAAGCCUGAACUUUCUCAUCUAACACCUGUUCAAGUCGGAGGAUGCUGAUUAAUUCAUGAUGGAAAGGUAUCAAUUUCACAGCCCAGACUUCUACAUUCUUGAAAUGCUGUUCUCAUGGGAGACAUUAAAUAAGCUUUGAAAUAACUGAGACGUCUGUGGAUUCUAUAACUCAAAGACCCAGGCUGAUGGCUGGUGGAAUAGCUACCAUCUCAAACAUGGCGUGAUGCUGCAUCAGAGGGAAAAAUAAGCUCUUGCACUGGCAAUGAAAUGUCUACCCUGUAGUGACUUGUGCUUACUUCCACUCACAAAUGAUUGCCCAGAGCUACUUACCUGGCUCCAAUCUACCACUGGGUCAGACGUUUGCCGAAUUCAGUUCUGAGCUUUUGAACCAAAAGCAGAUCUUCAGAACAAGAAAGAAGAUAAUAAAAGAGAAACACAAAGAAACUGAAGAUGAUUGGAGAUAUAUGAAUCAAGAUGAUUAGACCUAGCAGAGGGCUGGCUGGAUGGCAUUUAUGUUGACGAUGGACU
rnacentral:antisense_RNA from 1 species